AGAGUUUGAAAUAAGGAAAUCCCCUCACUGCUGUUUGACAGUUCACUUCGGUUCUUCAGCUAUGAACACUUCCUCUAAAUGAAAGCAGAAGCGGCAAAGUGAUUCAAGACACCAAAGCAAACAUACACACACCCACACACACAAGACACAAGUUGUAUAGUGACAAAAGACCGUGAAAAGAAUCACAUGGUAGUGAGAGCUCGCCUAGUUCCAGGUGGGUGAGGAGAAAGUAAAUAGACGAAACUGGUUCAGCAGGUAAACUGGCAUGAAACGGCUGUUGUGGACUGCUAGCACGCUCGUGAUGUGGUAAAUAUUUAAUCAAACCCAAGAUUUCCAACCUUCUCAAGCUACAAACCGGAGACACAAGAGAAAGUUUGCACUGUGGUGACACAAUGACAUCACCGAGGAAAACCUGGGGUUCUCCUCUAUGCGUUCAAGGAGUAAGUAGUUUAUAGUAAUUUAAAUUAAUUAGUAAAAAGCUAAGGAGUAAGUAGUUUAUGAAUUUAAAUUAAUUGUAAAAGAAUAUAUGUAUUCUUAUUUUUUAUUAAUAUAUGUAUGAUUAAAACAGUAAAAGAUGUUUAAAAUCUCAACAUAUUUGCAUUCUGGAAAGAUUCCUGAUCAUUUUAAUUGUAUUUUUGGCUACUAUAGCUAGACCGCCACUGGAUGAAGGGGAAAAUUAUUUCAGAAGAAGAUUGUUUUCUUCUUUUAGAAGUGAUCGACAACGAUCUCAAGGAGAGGAAGAUGACGCAGAUAAGAGAAGAACUUUCUCAGAUACAGAGAUUGAGACCAACAAAGGUAAGACUUCUUGAGCCUACCUAACUUUUCCACCAAUGCAUUUUUUUUUUUUAAUCAUUUGAUAUGUGCACUAAAUACUGUUUUCAGUAUGUUUGCACUGGCAGAUCUGUGAGCCAGUUUAUUCAGAAAUAAAGCUCUUGUAUUCAAUACAUUGGCUAUAGAAAAUGAGGCUGUAACUCUGAGAAUUUACUUGUGGAUUUCUACCAAAAUGAAAGCCAGCAGAUGCGUUAUUAGCAAGUGUUAUUCAUUGAGAUUAAAAUCUCUUUUACAAUAGUCACUUGGUAAUGAAAGCAUCAAAAGACAAACAAACGCGGACAUGCAAAGUAUACAGUGUCAUAUAAAUUAUGUCGUUUACUAUAUAUAUAUAUAUAUAUAUAUAUAUAUAUAUAU
rnacentral:lncRNA from 1 species